rnacentral:rRNA from 1 species
UACGUAGGGUGCGAGCGUUGUCCGGAAUUAUUGGGCGUAAAGAGCUCGUAGGCGGUCUGUCGCGUCGAUCGUGAAAACUUGGGGCUUAACCCUGAGCUUGCGGUCGAUACGGGCAUGACUGGAGUUCGGCAGGGGAGACUGGAAUUCCUGGUGUAGCGGUGAAAUGCGCAGAUAUCAGGAGGAACACCGGUGGCGAAGGCGGAUCUCUGGGCCUUACCUGACGCUCAGGCGCGAAAGCUAGGGGAGCGAACUGG